rnacentral:rRNA from 1 species
AGAGUUUGAUCAUGGCUCAGAUUGAACGCUGGCGGCAGGCCUAACACAUGCAAGUCGAACGGUAACAGGAAGCAGCUUGCUGCUUUGCUGACGAGUGGCGGACGGGUGAGUAAUGUCUGGGAAACUGCCUGAUGGAGGGGGAUAACUACUGGAAACGGUAGCUAAUACCGCAUAACGUCGCAAGACCAAAGAGGGGGACCUUCGGGCCUCUUGCCAUCGGAUGUGCCCAGAUGGGAUUAGCUAGUAGGUGGGGUAAAGGCUCACCUAGGCGACGAUCCCUAGCUGGUCUGAGAGGAUGACCAGCCACACUGGAACUGAGACACGGUCCAGACUCCUACGGGAGGCAGCAGUGGGGAAUAUUGCACAAUGGGCGCAAGCCUGAUGCAGCCAUGCCGCGUGUAUGAAGAAGGCCUUCGGGUUGUAAAGUACUUUCAGCGGGGAGGAAGGGAGUAAAGUUAAUACCUUUGCUCAUUGACGUUACCCGCAGAAGAAGCACCGGCUAACUCCGUGCCAGCAGCCGCGGUAAUACGGAGGGUGCAAGCGUUAAUCGGAAUUACUGGGCGUAAAGCGCACGCAGGCGGUUUGUUAAGUCAGAUGUGAAAUCCCCGGGCUCAACCUGGGAACUGCAUCUGAUACUGGCAAGCUUGAGUCUCGUAGAGGGGGGUAGAAUUCCAGGUGUAGCGGUGAAAUGCGUAGAGAUCUGGAGGAAUACCGGUGGCGAAGGCGGCCCCCUGGACGAAGACUGACGCUCAGGUGCGAAAGCGUGGGGAGCAAACAGGAUUAGAUACCCUGGUAGUCCACGCCGUAAACGAUGUCGACUUGGAGGUUGUGCCCUUGAGGCGUGGCUUCCGGAGCUAACGCGUUAAGUCGACCGCCUGGGGAGUACGGCCGCAAGGUUAAAACUCAAAUGAAUUGACGGGGGCCCGCACAAGCGGUGGAGCAUGUGGUUUAAUUCGAUGCAACGCGAAGAACCUUACCUGGUCUUGACAUCCACGGAAGUUUUCAGAGAUGAGAAUGUGCCUUCGGGAACCGUGAGACAGGUGCUGCAUGGCUGUCGUCAGCUCGUGUUGUGAAAUGUUGGGUUAAGUCCCGCAACGAGCGCAACCCUUAUCCUUUGUUGCCAGCGGUCCGGCCGGGAACUCAAAGGAGACUGCCAGUGAUAAACUGGAGGAAGGUGGGGAUGACGUCAAG